rnacentral:lncRNA from 1 species
GGUCAUCUUCCGGGCCACUACGUUAACCUGUAUGUGGUUGCUACUCACCGCGAUGGAUGCAAGGGAGUGUAUGGUUACUGGGUCUAUCAGCUGGGAGAUGGUAGCACGGGGUAUCUUCAACCGGUUUGGAUGGCUGUCAUGUAAUAGGAUAGGUGUUUAGUUCCCUAUCUUUUUUGCUGCCGGUUGUGGCUCUCCCUUUUCCUUACUUACAUCUCUUAGUGAGCAUCUUUAUUUGUUGAGACUUGGAGACUUUGUUCAACUAUUUUUUCUAAUAAAGUAGCCGCAUGCAUCAUUCUGAUGCGGAGGCCGGGGGAUAACCACCUUUUCGGAG